rnacentral:rRNA from 1 species
GUGGGGAAUCUUGCGCAAUGGGCGAAAGCCUGACGCAGCCAUGCCGCGUGAAUGAUGAAGGUCUUAGGAUUGUAAAAUUCUUUCACCGGGGACGAUAAUGACGGUACCCGGAGAAGAAUCCCCGGCUAACUUCGUGCCAGCAGCCGCGGUAAUACGAAGGGGGCUAGCGUUGCUCGGAAUUACUGGGCGUAAAGGGCGCGUAGGCGGACAGUUUAGUCAGAGGUGAAAGACCAGGGCUCAACCCUGGAACUGCACUCGAUACUAUUAAGCUUGAAUUCGGUAGAGGUUGGUGGAAUUCCCAGUGUAGAGGUGAAAUUCGUAGAUAUUGGGAAGAAUAUCCGUGGCGAAGGCGGCCAACUGGACCGACAUUGACGCUGAGGCGCGAAAGCGUGGGGAGCAAACAGGAUUAGAACCCCCGGUAGUCC